UCGGGUUCUCCAGUCAUGUUUUCAGGUGGUCAGAAUAGAUGUAGCUCAAGCAGCAACAGAGCAAGGGUUCCCCACCACACUAGCAUGUGCCUCAACCCUGACCUGGAGGGAUCCCCUCUCAAGGCCUGUAUCAUUCAAGGACAGUAUGCCGUUCCACUGCCAGA
rnacentral:sRNA from 1 species